rnacentral:lncRNA from 1 species
UAAAUUCAUCAAGCAUGAAUUUAACUUUGAACGCGGUCCCUUUACCUUGAGUUCUUGCGCACGCGACAUACCGCAGAAUACUCAUACCAGGCAUAAGCUCGGAGAAGAUACAACUCCCGGAGGUGGUCUUAUGAGCUUCCCGGAGGAAGUGGGAGAACUUGAACAACGUUAAACCCCGGCGUCACUGAUAGCUCCGCGGGACCUCCCGGGACAGGCAGGAGUUACCAUGAAUACAUUCAGGAACCGACGCGGAUCCUCGAAUGAUCUCAGCAAAGCUCCUGUGAGAACGUUGUUCCCUAUCAAGCCAUCAGCUCUGAAAAAUGUGGUCGAAGAAGACAGCAGGGAAGAGGCAUCACUCCAGAGAAUAAUGGUGGACUACAACGCUCAUUCAUAUUUAGGAAUCAUCGAGAAGAAUGAACAUUGCCGGAGAAUGCAAUUCUUAGUCAAGCACUUGGAGACCAUGCGGCAGGACAGUCGAAAUUUGGACUACGACAAGUGAGGGACCGGGGACUCGUCGUGUGCUAGUGAAGUCGUCCGCUCACGCCCCGUCGGUGUGAAUCUUCCUCGCGUGGUUCGAAAGAACUUGCAAGAGGGCGUAUCCGUUGAAUGAAUGCAUCGUUCACUAAGGGGGGACGCAUCAUGACGGAAACACAUACGUGGUUUCUGGAAGCGUCUCAUAUCUCGGUGCGAUCAGGAGAAUAACCACCAUGGACACUUUUAUGAGACUGGUCGUUCGAAGGCGAAAAAUGCAGACUCCUGUUUUCACAGGCCGACGGUAACACGGUUCCGUAUAUAGGGUCUAGGGUCCUUUGUUCAAUACACAUUUUGUGAUGAAAAGGGCGGUAACAAUAAAGGUUGCUGAA